AUUGAACGCUGGCGGCAUGCCUUACACAUGCAAGUCGAGCGCGAAAGGGGGCAACCCCGAGUAGAGCGGCGGACGGGUGAGUAACGCAUCGGAACGUGCCCAGUAGUGGGGGACAACCUCGAGAAAUCGAGGCUAAUACCGCAUACGACCCACGGGUGAAAGCGGGGGACCGCAAGGCCUCGCGCUAUUGGAGCGGCCGAUGUCCGAUUAGCUAGUUGGCGGGAUAAGAGCCCACCAAGGCGACGAUCGGUAGCUGGUCUGAGAGGACGACCAGCCACACUGGGACUGAGACACGGCCCAGACUCCUACGGGAGGCAGCAGUGGGGAAUUUUGGACAAUGGGGGCAACCCUGAUCCAGCCAUGCCGCGUGCGGGAAGAAGGCCUUCGGUUGUAA
rnacentral:rRNA from 1 species